rnacentral:rRNA from 1 species
CAAAGUAUCUUCUGCGCACUGAUUUAUUGAAUGGCCGCAGUACUCUGACUGUGCUAAGGUAGCGUGAUUCUUGUUUUCUUAAUUAGAAAUCUGUUCAAAGAAUGAUAUGUGGAAAAUCUAUUGUUUUCAUACUUAAAUAAACUUAAAUUGUUAGUGAAAAUUCUAACUAGCUCUUAAAAGACGAGAAGACCCCAUAAAACUUAAUUUAACCACUUAUUUUUUACUUUUUCAAAUUUAAAUGGGGACUUUAGAGUAAAAUAAUAACUUGUUGACCUAUAAAUUUAAUAACUGAGAAGCUACUUUGGGGAUAACAGGGUGAGAUAUUUAAAGAGUUCUUAUCGAUAAAUAUAAAU